rnacentral:sRNA from 2 species
GGUGGCCGCACUUCUUGGACGUUUCCUCCCAAAACUCGGGCCGCGCCAUGCGGCCCUUUUUUUUGUUCUUG